UACGUAGGGUCCGAGCGUUGUCCGGAAUUACUGGGCGUAAAGAGCUCGUAGGCGGUUUGUCACGUCUGCUGUGAAAACUGGAGGCUCAACCUCCAGCUUGCAGUGGGUACGGGCAGACUAGAGUGUGGUAGGGGAGACUGGAAUUCCUGGUGUAGCGGUGAAAUGCGCAGAUAUCAGGAGGAACACCGAUGGCGAAGGCAGGUCUCUGGGCCACUACUGACGCUGGAGAAGCGGAAAGCAUGGGGAGCGAACAGG
rnacentral:rRNA from 1 species